AAAACACAUUGAGGGUAUUUUUGACUUUGCAAGUGUUUUAAUUUUGGAAGAUUUAGUGGUUUACCAAAAUCAUAGUUGUAUUGACGAUUCGUUUCCUGCUUUAUCGUGUCUAUUGCGUACGCCUUCUCUCCCCAUUUGUGCCGGUUUUGUGUCUAUGUUGGAGAAGUCGACGGACGCAAUGUUGGAGAAGUCGACGGCUGGAGGAGGAGUUUUGACGGUGCUUCUUGGCUCAAGUUUUCAAGGUGCUUCUCGGUUGUGUUGAAGGUUCCGGCGGUGUAGUUGUUCUUCGUUGUUGGCAGACGAGGAUACUUGGAUGCAUGGCGCGGUGGUGAGUGAUUUGCAGGCGGGCAGUGCGGCAAUGGCGGAAGGGUCGGCUGGCCGUCGAUGAGGUAAGGAAUCCAGGCCAUCGUCAUCGGCGGAUUCGGCGCCUAAUCCAGCUAAAAGAGUUAGGGAAGCACUUUCAGUAGGGUGUCCGUCCCAGCUGUCUAAUGAUGAUGACGACUUUGUGAAAGAUCCGCCUGUUGGGUUUCAAAGAAUGCAGCAAGAACCUGCUGUGGAUGAUUAGGAUACUGAUUUAACCGCGGAAGAGUGUGUACAUUUUUCGGCUGUUAGAGUUAGGGUGCCACCUGUGGUUUUUGUAGAGGCGUUGGAAGAUCUUACUGCACAGCAGAAAGACAUUUGUGAUUUUGGGUUUGGUGCCGUUCUGGACUUGAAGAUUAAGGAGUUACCUGUUCAAACGUUUUUUUUUGGUGUGCCCUUUACACGGGCCAUGCCUACGAAUUUCUAAAAAAAUUAUACUGUUGUAUUAUCAAUCCGCAUGCCAUGCCAGGCAUUCCAAACAAAUUAUAUUUGUGCGCAAAUGGUUUUUUUUUUGGGUUUUUACACAGGCCAUUCUUACUUAUUUUUAUAACAUUAUAAUGUUUUUUUAAUCAAUUACACAGGCCAUGCUUAAACGA